GAUGAAGAACGUAGCGAAAUGCGAUAAGUAAUGUGAAUUGCAGAAUUCAGUGAAUCAUCGAAUCUUUGAACGCACAUUGCGCCCGCCAGUAUUCUGGCGGGCAUGCCUGUUCGAGCGUCAUUUCAACCCUCAAGCCCUCGGGCUUGGUGUUGGGGGCCGGCGGAGCCCCCCGUGGGCACACGCCGUCCCCCAAAUACAGUGGCGGUCCCGCCGCAGCUUCCAUCGCGUAGUAGCUAACACCUCGCGACUGGAGAGCGGCGCGGCCACGCCGUAAAACACCCAACUCUUCUGAAGUUGACCUCGAAUCAGGUAGGAAUACCCGCUGAACUUAAGCAUAUCAAUAAGCGGAGGA
rnacentral:misc_RNA from 1 species